rnacentral:rRNA from 1 species
CCCCUAGAUGUUCUGGGCCGCACGCGCGCUACACUGAACAGUUCAACAAGUCUUAACCUUGGCCGAUAGGUCUGGGUAAUCUUUGAACGCUGUUCGUGAUUGGGAUAGACCUUUGCAAUUAUGGGUCUUCAACGAGGAAUUCCUAGUAAACGCAAGUCAUCAGCUUGCAUUGAUUGCGUCCCUGCCCUUUGUACACACCGCCCGUCGCACCUACCGAUUGAAUGGUCCGGUGAAAUCUCGGGACGGCGGCUUGGUCGCUUGCGUCCGACUGCUGAAACUUGAUUAAACCAUAUCAUUUAGAGGAAGGUGAANUCGUAACA